GGGGUCAGGUCACUAUGGGGUUCCUCUGCCACUAUACUCGUUCCAAAGCUUCCAGCAUAAUGAUGCUGUUUCCUCGUAUUACCACCAUGCCGAUGUUGUUCUGCUGCCCACCGGGUGCCAUCUCCACGCACUCAUCAAUCACCAGGUUCAUGAAGGGGUCGAAGCCCCGCAGGAUCCCCUGCACGUGGCGGCCGCCAUUUAACUUCAGUGACAGCUUCUUGUCCAUGAACUUCUUCAGCUCGGGGGGGUGCGCCUUGCUCAUGGCGUCUCCUCAGCGCCGCUGCCGCUCGCGCCGCGUUCUGACGUCAUCACGUCGCCCG
rnacentral:lncRNA from 1 species